GACGAACUUUGGCGGCGUGCUUAACACAUGCAAGUCGAACGGAAAGGCCCUGCUUUUGUGGGGUGCUCGAGUGGCGAACGGGUGAGUAGCACGUGAGUAACCUGCCCUUGACUUUGGGAUAACUUCAGGAAACUGGGGCUAAUACCGGAUAGGAGCUCCUGCUGCAUGGUGGGGGUUGGAAAGUUUCGGCGGUUGGGGAUGGACUCGCGGCUUAUCAGCUUGUUGGUGGGGUAGUGGCUUACCAAGGCUUUGACGGGUAGCCGGCCUGAGAGGGUGACCGGCCACAUUGGGACUGAGAUACGGCCCAGACUCCUACGGGAGGCAGCAGUGGGGAAUAUUGCACAAAGGGCGGAAGCCUGAUGCAGCAACGCCGCGUGCGGGAUGACGGCCUUCGGGUUGUAAACCGCUUUCGCCUGUGACGAAGCGUGAGUGACGGUAAUGGGUAAAGAAGCACCGGCUAACUACGUGCCAGCAGCCGCGGUGAUACGUAGGGUGCGAGCGUUGUCCGGAUUUAUUGGGCGUAAAGGGCUCGUAGGUGGUUGAUCGCGUCGGAAGUGUAAUCUUGGGGCUUAACCCUGAGCGUGCUUUCGAUACGGGUUGACUUGAGGAAGGUAGGGGAGAAUGGAAUUCCUGGUGGAGCGGUGGAAUGCGCAGAUAUCAGGAGGAACACCAGUGGCGAAGGCGGUUCUCUGGGCCUUUCCUGACGCUGAGGAGCGAAAGCGUGGGGAGCGAACAGGCUUAGAUACCCUGGUAGUCCACGCUGUAAACGGUGGGUACUAGGUGUGGGGUCCAUUCCACGGGUUCCGUGCCGUAGCUAACGCUUUAAGUACCCCGCCUGGGGAGUACGGCCGCAAGGCUAUAACUCAAAGGAAUUGACGGGGCCCCGCACAAGCGGCGGAGCAUGCGGAUUAAUUCGAUGCAACGCGUAGAACCUUACCUGGGUUUGACAUGGAUCGGGAGUGCUCAGAGAUGGGUGUGCCUCUUUUGGGGUCGGUUCACAGGUGGUGCAUGGCUGUCGUCAGCUCGUGUCGUGAGAUGUUGGGUUAAGUCCCGCAACGAGCGCAACCCUUGUUCACUGUUGCCAGCACGUUAUGGUGGGGACUCAGUGGAGACCGCCGGGGUCAACUCGGAGGAAGGUGGGGAUGACGUCAAGUCAUCAUGCCCCUUAUGUCCAGGGCUUCACGCAUGCCACAAUGGCUGGUACAGAGAGUGGCGAGCCUGUGAGGGUGAGCGAAUCUCGGAAAGCCGGUCUCAGUUCGGAUUGGGGUCUGCAACUCGACCUCAUGAAGUCGGAGUCGCUAGUAAUCGCAGAUCAGCAACGCUGCGGUGAAUACGUUCCCGGGGCU
rnacentral:rRNA from 1 species